CUUUCUGCCCCAAGGCAGACCCCAAAGGAGCUGGCAGCUGGGGACCACAUGCUGACCACACUCCUGAAGCUGGGCGGCACGCCCUUUCUUGAAAGGGGAUCUGGGCACCUCACCUCCAUGUCUGCCACACAGAUCUACCAAGGUGAUUCUUCCUGACUUGUGAGUUUAUUAAUAUGCAAAUCUUACAUAGCUAUAAGCAGUAAAUCAUUUAGUUAUACACUGGAUGAAUCCCCUUUAUGGGGAAGAAUAAUUUUACAUUCAAAGAAAUACACAGCUUACUAUGUAUGUAACAAGUCUGUACUUGCUCCAGAAAUUCAACACUAUCUGUGUGCCAAGUGCUUUCCAUACUUAUUCCAGUGCACUCGAUUAAAUUCAUUAUCAGCACACUGUGUGCCAGAUGCUGUUAUUAAUGACAAAAACCUCAGAGAAAAGCCUCUUAACUCAGUUUCAUUAUCUGGAAUUGAUACUUGAUAGAUCCACAAAAUUGAUUUGCUCUGUGUAAAUAAGUGACCCUGUAGAAGUGUUCCAGAAAAUAUGGCUCUGCAGAGCUUUACACUUCUGAGCCCUCGGUUGACAGAAGGCAUGUCUGUAAGAAGCAUUAAAGAAAACAUAAAUUUAGCCCCAAAAGUGAUGGAAAUGCCCGUGUUAAUUAUAAUGUUAAUAGAUACUUAAUAUCUAACAUUUUCCAAAAGUUAUAGUCAAAGGACUUUAGUCCUCAUGUCAAUCAUUUAAUUCACUUGGUAGGGAAUAGACUAUGAGAGUCUCACUUUGUCCUUCAUUAAUUCACAUAGAUACUGGGAUCUAUUUCUAGAUUCUUUCAUCAGUUCCCCUGACCUAGUUGUUUUAUCUUUGCACCAAUAUCAUGUUAACAUAGGCGCCAUGGCAAGUGCUCCCUCACUGCUAUUUUUCACAUUCCUCUUAGCUAUUUGGUCUCAUUCAAAACAAAAAUCGCUUUAUCCAAUUUCCUCUAAAAACCUAGGUAUGAUUCUAAGUAGAAUUGUAUUAAAUUUAUAUGUUAAUUUUAAGAGAAUUGACUUUUCAUCUAAGAACGUUAUAUGUCUUCCUCUGUGUGUAAAUUUCGUUUCUUGCCUAGAUCCUACGCUUCUUAAAUUUGGGCGCUUAAAUUUAUUCUUGAGUAUUCUUGGAGCUACUACUGUGAAUGGAAUAUUCUUCCACUUCCAUUUUUAAGUGUGUAUUUGCAUAGUAACAAAAACUAUUGACUACAUCC
rnacentral:lncRNA from 1 species